rnacentral:rRNA from 1 species
CGGACGGGUGAGUAAUGCUUGGGAAUCUGGCUUAUGGAGGGGGAUAACUACGGGAAACUGUAGCUAAUACCGCGUAGUAUCGGAAGAUGAAAGUGCGGGACCGUAAGGCCGCAUGCCAUGGGAUGAGCCCAAGUGGGAUUAGGUGGUUGGUGGGGUAAAGGCCUACCAAGCCUGCGAUCUCUAGCUGGUCUGAGAGGAUGGCCAGCCACACUGGAACUGAGACACGGUCCAG